CUGCGGAGGGAUCAUUACACAAAUAUGAAGGCGGGCUGGAACCUCUCGGGGUUACAGCCUUGCUGAAUUAUUCACCCUUGUCUUUUGCGUACUUCUUGUUUCCUUGGUGGGUUCGCCCACCACUAGGACAAACAUAAACCUUUUGUAAUUGCAAUCAGCGUCAGUAACAAAUUAAUAAUUACAACUUUCAACAACGGAUCUCUUGGUUCUGGCAUCGAUGAAGAACGCAGCGAAAUGCGAUAAGUAGUGUGAAUUGCAGAAUUCAGUGAAUCAUCGAAUCUUUGAACGCACAUUGCGCCCUUUGGUAUUCCAAAGGGCAUGCCUGUUCGAGCGUCAUUUGUACCCUCAAGCUUUGCUUGGUGUUGGGCGUCUUGUCUCUAGCUUUGCUGGAGACUCGCCUUAAAGUAAUUGGCAGCCGGCCUACUGGUUUCGGAGCGCAGCACAAGUCGCACUCUCUAUCAGCAAAGGUCUAGCAUCCAUUAAGCCUUUUUUUCAACUUUUGACCUCGGAUCAGGUAGGGAUACCCGCUGAACUUAAGCAUAUCAAA
rnacentral:rRNA from 1 species